AUUGAACGCUGGCGGCAUGCUUUACACAUGCAAGUCGAACGGCAGCACGGACUUCGGUCUGGGGGCGAGUGGCGAACGGGUGAGUAAUGUAUCGGAACGUGCCCAGUCGUGGGGGAUAACGUAGUGAAAAUUACGCUAAUACCGCAAACGAUCUAUUGCUGAAAGCGGGGGAUCGCAAGAACUCGCGCGAUUGGAGCGGCCGAUAUCAGAUUAGGUAGUUGGUGGGGUAAAGGCCUACCAAGCCAACGAUCAGAAGCGGGUCUGAGAAGAGGACCAGCCACACUGGAACUGAGACACGGUCCAGACUCCUACGGGAGGCAGCAGUGGGGAAUUUUGGACAAUGGGCGAAAGCCUGAUCCAGCCAUUCCGCGUGCAGGGUGAAGGCCCUCGGGUUGUAAACUGCUUUUGUACAGAACGAAAAGGUUUCUACUAAUACUAGGAGCUCAUGACGGUACUGUAAGAAUAAGCACCGGCUAACUACGUGCCAGCCGCCGCAGUAA
rnacentral:rRNA from 1 species